rnacentral:rRNA from 1 species
UGGGCGCAAGCCUGAUCCAGCUAUUCCGCGUGUGGGAAGACGGCCUUCGGGUUGUAAACCACUUUUGUAGAGAACGAAAAGUCUAUUGAUAAUACCGAUAGAUGAUGACGGUACUCUAAGAAUAAGCACCGGCUAACUACGUGCCAGCAGCCGCGGUAAUACGUAGGGUGCGAGCGUUAAUCGGAAUUACUGGGCGUAAAGGGUGUGCAGGCGGUUUUGCAAGAUGGAUGUGAAAGCCCCGGGCUUAACCUGGGAAAGCCAUACAUGACUGCAAGACUAGAGUGCGUCAGAGGGGGGUGGAAUUCCAAGUGUAGCAGUGAAAUGCGUAGAUAUUUGGAAGAACACCGAUGGCGAAGGCAGCCCCCUGGGACGCAACUGACGCUCAUACACGAAAGCGUGGGGAGCAAACAGGAUUAGAUACCCUGGUAGUCCACGCCCUAAACGAUGUCAACUAGUUGUUGGGAGGUAAAACUUCA